UAGACUGUGGCCGAGUGGUUAAGGCGACAGACUUGAAUUCUCCUUCGAUAUCUGUUUCAUUCGUGAGCGCAGGUUCGAACCGUAUGUCUCCUUAU